UAGCAGAGGUCCCGAGCGUUGGUUCGGAAUUCACUGGGCGUAAAGGGUUGCGUAGGUGGUGAGGUAAGUCGGAUGUGAAAUCUCCGAGCUCAACUCGGAAAUGGCAUUGGAAACUACCUUGCUUGAGGGUUGGAGGGGGACUGGAAUACUUGGUGUAGCAGUGAAAUGCGUAGAUAUCAAGUGGAACACAGUGGCGAAGGCGAGUCCCUGGACAACUCGUGACACUGAGGCACGAAAGCUAGGGAGCAAACAGG
rnacentral:rRNA from 1 species